CGUAGCUUCUUAGAGCCUGUACCAUAAGAGAUUGAGUCCGCCUAGAUGAAACGUCGCGUUUUUCUUCAGGGUUAGACAUGUGUUCAUCUUUGCCUCUCGAGAGCUCAUGGUGAUCGUUCAUCUUCGUAUUCAUGAUACAAAAUGAUACCAGUUACAAAAUAAUCCACUUAAAACCCUCUAUUAAUCCAUCACCCAUGAUCUCUAAUCAAUGCGAGACCAAAUCUUCUAAGGCUGUGGAAAUUUCGACUAUAAAAUGUCCUCCUCUCCGAUUUGAAGACAGGCCGCUCCUCCUCCACCGUUCAAGUCCGGUUGCUCCGUUUCUUGGCGGCCAUGAAUGUCUGCCGGGGUGGAAAAUUCAUGGGAGUGGAUAUGCUCCUACUGGAUUCCUAGGCGACCAUGAUACCUGCCACCGUGAAUGUCAACCGGCUUGCGACUCACAUGCCUAAUCUGAAAUCGAGUUCGGUUUAUUCUCUAACCGUUUUUGAUGUUACUCGAUGUAACCAAAAUUAUCGGCUAUCGGACUCUGCCCUGCUAAUCCGUUUUAGCGACUCAAACUCUUUCAAUGAGGUCAAACCGGCCGUUCUGAUACCUCUUGAAUUUUUCUGGCUCCGCCAUAAUCACAGUGAUAUGAUUUGUCUUUCCAACACAAACACUCAGUUUCUAGACCUUAUUGGUGAGAUAACUGUUGUGAUGAGUACUGUCACUGACCCUUCUCAGGAUAAGAACCGUGUUAUGGCAACCAUUAAGAUGGACAAUGACAUGUAUGUGACCAUGAGUCUCUUCGACUCUCAGGCUGUUAAGAUCCACAAUCAACAAGAAACAAUGCGAGGUAAUCCAAGGGUUGUGGUUGCAACCAGUGUCAACCCCAAGAUGGUGGGAGGUCGUCUGUUUUUGAAUGCCACCUCCGGCACACACAUAUACUUUGACAAGGAAACAACUGCAGGGGAGAGUUUUUUCUACAUGUUGGUCGCACAAGACACUGGGCUUACACCAGCAUCUCCACUGCUAAGGUGGAAUCCCUGAGCAUAGCCGAGCUCAAUAAUUUUCUCACAACUGCUCCCUCGCAGGAAAUUGAUUUUGUCUGUACCGGAAGAGUGACUGGAAUAAAGAUGGAGAAGGAAUGGUGCUAUGUUUCCUGCUCUAACUGUGACAAGAAACUUUAGCGCACUGUCUCAUCUUUCACAUGUCUGCCUUGCAACAAUACUAAUGCAGUUAGUGUUCUCCGAUACCGUGCGGAGAUGUCCGUUGCAGAUGAAACUGGUGAAGCUUUGUUUGUCUGUUUCGAUGGGGUAUUGACGAAACUGCACAACACGAGAGCCUUAUACAAUUUAAACAAAUGAUACAUGCUAAUGCGACUCCAAUCUCAUUAUAAUUCAAGUUUUCUUAUUCAACUCGUUGUCAUUAUAUUUCAAACUGUUUUGACUAACAAAUCGUUAGUCAACCGUUAAAUUGAGAUGAGUAAUCUUUUCUACAUAAAAAUAUCCGCUUUCCAUUAAUACUCACUAUACCGAACUAGCUCAGUUGAUAAAUAACUAAAUUUACUUUGUUACAGUACUUUUUUGCAUUAAAUAAAAUCUUUAACCCUUCUUCUUCCCCAUUAUCUUUGACGUACACGAACAUGAGGUUGUCACCGCACUCAUCAAGUUUUUCCGACCAAGGUGAUUUCGGCGAGACAGUGAGUUUUGGAAGGACUGAAGCACUUUCCGCUUCAGUCAUUUAUUUGCCGCCACUACCUACGGUGAGGAGAUUGACUGGAACCGCAUUGUGAUCCAGAGGAUUAAUCGAUAUAUUAGGAGGUAAGGGAGAUGGUGAGGAUUGAGGAGGAGUUACAUGUGAUGCUGAACAAGAAAGGAGGCAAUGAGCGAUUCUCAGAAAAUGUACGGGAGAUGCUGGAUGAGGAGAUAGGAGAGAAAAGGCGAUGUUGGGAGGAGAGAUGAGAGUGAGGGCUAUGCUGAGAGGAGAGAGGAGAGAGAGGGUAAUUUUAGGAGGAGAGAGGAGAUAGAGGGCGAUGUUGAGAGGAUAAAAAGUGGACGAUGCUGUAUCGAUCACUCUUGGCUCUAUCUCUUUUCUUCUGUUAUCCUUUGAUGGUUUCAUAUAUUCUUACUCAGUUUCCCAAAGCUGUUUCGAUUUGUUUAACGAAAAAUAUGCAU